CUUGGUGGCCAUGGUGCCGGGGAAACACCCGAUCCCAUUCCGAACUCGGAAGUUAAGCCUGGACACGCCGAUGGUACUACGUGGGCAGCUGCGUGGGAGAGUAGGUCGCCGCCAAGA
rnacentral:rRNA from 1 species